rnacentral:snoRNA from 1 species
UCCGAUGAUGAUAUUGUCUGCAAAAUGGAUGUGUUGUAAGAUCCAAGUCCCUGCUUUUAGGGAGAACCUACUUGGUGAAACAACAUUAAUAUGACAUCAACAGAUACAUCUGAGAU